UACAGAGGGUGCGAGCGUUAAUCGGAAUUACUGGGCGUAAAGCGUGCGUAGGCGGCUUUGCAAGUCGGGUGUGAAAUCCCCAGGCUUAACCUGGGAACUGCAUUCGAGACUGCAUUGCUAGAGUAUGGGAGAGGGAAGUGGAAUUUCCGGUGUAGCGGUGAAAUGCGCAGAUAUCGGGAGGAACACCGGUGGCGAAGGCGGUUCUCUGGGCAUGUCCUGACGCUGAGGAGCGAAAGUGUGGGGAGCGAACAGG
rnacentral:rRNA from 1 species